rnacentral:ncRNA from 1 species
UAAUAAAGACAUAUCCGCGGAGUUAGGGAAUCCGGUGAGAAGCCGGAACGGCCCCUGCCACCGUAAUCGGCAAGCGGAGAGCGCGUAGAUCGCUUCCGCAGACCGAGCCGCAUCCAGCCACUGUCGAAAGAUGGGAAGGCGCGGCUUGAAGGCCGAGAGUCGGGAAACCUGCCGCCGGAUGUUUUGGCUU